GAACGUCCUCUUUUUCUUCGGAGAGAGAGGGAGUGGCGGACGGGUGAGUAACACAUGGGUGACCUACCCUUUGGUGAGGGAUACCGGCGAGAAAUCGCCGACAAGCCCGCAUACGCUGGCUCUGGUGGAGCGGAGCGAGCAAAGUCUUUUGUAAGAGAGACGCCAGGGGAUGGGCCUGUGGCCGAUUAGCUGGUUGGUGGGGUAAGAGCCUACCAAGGCUGCGAUCGGUAGCUGGUCUGACAGGACGAACAGCCACACUGGGAUUGAGAACGGCCCAGACUCCUACGGGGGGCAGCAGUGAGGAAUUUUCCGCAAUGGGCUCGGGGCCUGACGGAGCAACGCCGCGUGCAGGAGGACGCUUUUCGGAGUGUAAACUGCUUUUCUGUGGGACGAGCAAGGACGGUACCACAGGAAUAAGCCCCGGCUAACUACGUG
rnacentral:rRNA from 1 species